rnacentral:autocatalytically_spliced_intron from 1 species
AAGAGCCGUAUGACGGGAGACUGUCACGUACGGUGUGCGCCGUGAGGCGCUUCGUUGUAUCCCCGACGCAGU